GCCGUGAGGUGUUGGGUUAAGUCCCGCAACGAGCGCAACCCUCACUCUAUGUUGCCAUCGGGUAAUGCCGGGCACUCUUAGGGAACUGCCGGCGAAGAGCUGGAGGAAGGUGGGGAUGACGUCAAGUCAUCAUGGCCCUUACGACCAGGGCUACACACGUACUACAAUGGGAGGUACAGAGGGUUGCGAAGCCGCGAGGUGAAGCCAAUCCCAGAAAACCUCUCUCAGUCCGGAUCGGAGUCUGCAACUCGACUCCGUGAAGCCGGAAUCGCUAGUAAUCGUGGAUCAGCCAUGCCACGGUGAAUACGUUCCCGGGCCUUGUACACACCGCCCGUCACGCCAUGGAAGCUGGGGGGACCUGAAGCCGGUGGGCUAACUCGCAAGAGGGGCAGCCGUCAAAGGUCAAUUCAGUGACUGGGGCGAAGUCGUAACAAGGUAGCCGUAGGGGAACCUGCGGCUGGAUCACCUCCUUUCUGGAGCGACGAGUACGCUCGGUGCACCCCCAACAUGGGAACCCGAGACGAAAGUCCUCAGAAGUCGCCCGCACUCUAUCGCUUUCUAGCUUGCAUCACUUUUUCUUGGCGGGCCCCGUGGGGUCCGCCGUGCUCUUUGACAAUCGACGAAUGGAUGGUUUGCCUGUUGGCUGACGGGCGCUCGCUUGCGAGCGUGCGGCGGUGAGCAGGCAGGGUGUGAGGAAUCAACACCGGUCGUCCUGAUCCGAUCGCAGGAUCGGGAACGACAUGAGAUUUGAGAUCAAACGCAAUAAGGCACACGGUGGAUGCCUUGGCAUCGAGAGGCGAUGAAGGGCGUGAUAAGCUGCGAUAAGCCUGGGGGAGCUGCACAUGAGCCGUGAUCCCAGGAUGC
rnacentral:sRNA from 1 species